CACGUAGGGUGCGAGCGUUGUCCGGAAUUAUUGGGCGUAAAGAGCUCGUAGGCGGUGUGUCGCGUCGGCCGUGAAAACCUGCAGCUUAACUGUGGGCUUGCGGGCGAUACGGGCAGGCUAGAGUUCGGUAGGGGAGACUGGAAUUCCUGGUGUAGCGGUGGAAUGCGCAGAUAUCAGGAGGAACACCAAUGGCGAAGGCAGCUCGCUGGGACGGUACUGACGCUGAGGCGCGAAAGCGUGGGGAGCAAACAGG
rnacentral:rRNA from 1 species